CAGCAGUCGCCGCGGGAAUACGAAGGGUGCAAGCGUUAAUCGGAAUUACUGGGCGUAAAGCGUGCGUAGGCGGUGAGUUAAGUCUGCUGUGAAAUCCCCGGGCUCAACCUGGGAAUGGCAGUGGAUACUGGCUCGCUAGAGUGUGUCAGAGGAUGGUGGAAUUCCCGGUGUAGCGGUGAAAUGCGUAGAGAUCGGGAGGAACAUCAGUGGCGAAGGCGGCCAUCUGGGACAACACUGACGCUGAGGCACGAAAGCGUGGGGAGCAAACAGGAUUAGAUACCCCCGUAGUCCCUGUCUCUUAUAA
rnacentral:rRNA from 1 species